rnacentral:misc_RNA from 1 species
UGGUUCUGGCAUCGAUGAAGAACGCAGCGAAAUGCGAUAAUUAAUGUGAAUUGCAGAAUUCAGUGAAUCAUCGAAUCUUUGAACGCACAUUGCACCCCCUGGUAUUCCGGGGGGCAUGCCUGUCCGAGCGUCAUUAUCGACCGUCAAGCCCCCGGGCUUGGGAUUGGGCGUCGUCCCCGCUGCGGACGCGCCCCAAAGACCUCGGCGGCGGCCCCGCGGCCUCAGGCGUAGUAGAACCUCUUUGCCGCCUGCAGAGGCCCGCGGGUCGCCCGCUCCAAGCACGCAACCUGUUGCAACCAAAGGUUGACCUCGGAUCAGGUAGGGAUACCCGCUGA